rnacentral:rRNA from 1 species
AUGUGGCAUGUGUCCAAUUUACAUGUAGCUCCAACUCGUAUUCACCAGCACCAUGGGCAGGUAGGGUGGACUCUAUCUUGGCCUCUUGGGUCUCAUCAUCACAAAAAUUCAUUAAACUUGCAUACCUGCAUCAUAUGCAGAUGUCGAAAAUUGCAACAUAUGUAUAGCGCAUCAUGUCAUCAAUUGCUUCCAGCCAUCAAAUUAUUAAGUGACACGUACUAUGCUUUAUGUGUGUCUGAAGCUAUGCAACAACUAAUUUUCUUUAGUCUCAAAUCUUGUAGCAACCAGUCAUCCGUUCACUUACAGGACAACGACUAG